GCACAAACACACGCCGUGUUUGUGUGUGUGUGUGUGUAUGUAUCUAUAUCUAUAUAUAUAUAUAUAUAUGUAUAUAUAUAUAUAUAUAGAUAUAGAUAUAUAUACACACACACACACACAUACACUGCUGUGUGUGC
rnacentral:miRNA from 1 species